rnacentral:tRNA from 1 species
GCAUAGGUGGUUCAGCGGUAGAAGUCUCACCUCCCACGUGGGAGACCUGGGUUUGAUACCUGGCCAACGCA